AUGUUGGCUUAGAAGCAGCCAUCAUUUAAAGAAAGCGUAAUAGCUCACUGGUCGAGUCGGCCUGCGCGGAAGAUGUAACGGGGCUAAACCAUGCACCGAAGCUGCGGCAGCGAACGUAUCACUUAAAGCGAUUCAGCGGGUUACGAUUGACGGAGCGAAGCGACGUCAAAGCGUAUACAAAGUCGAGUCGGUUUAAGGAUACGUUCGUUGGGUAGGGGAGCGUUCUGUAAGCCUGUGAAGGUGGCCUGUGAGGGUUGCUGGAGGUAUCAGAAGUGCGAAUGCUGACAUAAGUAACGAUAAAGCGGGUGAAAAGCCCGCUCGCCGGAAGACCAAGGGUUCCUGUCCAACGUUAAUCGGGGCAGGGUGAGUCGACCCCUAAGGCGAGGCCGAAAGGCGUAGUCGAUGGGAAACGGGUUAAUAUUCCCGUACUUGGUGUUACUGCGAAGGGGGGACGGAGAAGGCUAUGUUGGCCGGGCGACGGUUGUCCCGGUUUAAGCGUGUAGGCUGGUUUUCCAGGCAAAUCCGGAAAAUCAAGGCUGAGGCGUGAUGACGAGGCACUACGGUGCUGAAGCAACAAAUGCCCUGCUUCCAGGAAAAGCCUCUAAGCAUCAGGUAACAUCAAAUCGUACCCCAAACCGACACAGGUGGUCAGGUAGAGAAUACCAAG
rnacentral:rRNA from 1 species